rnacentral:rRNA from 1 species
UAACACAUGCAAGUCGAACGGAGAAUUUCAAUAAGCUUGCUUAGCGAAAUUUUUAGUGGCGGACGGGUGAGUAACGCGUGGGUAACCUACCCAUAAACCCGGGACAACCCUUGGAAACGAGGGCUAAUACCGGAUAAUCUUUUUGCUUGGCAUCAAGCGUUAAGAAAAGGUGGCCUCUGAAGAUGCUACCGAUUAUGGAUGGACCCGCGUCUGAUUAGCUAGUUGGUGGGGUAAAGGCCUACCAAGGCGACGAUCAGUAGCCGGCCUGAGAGGGUGAACGGCCACACUGGGACUGAGACACGGCCCAGACUCCUACGGGAGGCAGCAGUGGGGAAUCUUCCGCAAUGGACGAAAGUCUGACGGAGCAACGCCGCGUGUAUGAUGAAGGUCUUCGGAUUGUAAAGUACUGUCUUUGGGGGAGAAUGAUGCAUUUGAAAAUAUUGAGUGCAUAUGACGGUACCCAAGGAGGAAGCCCCGGCUAACUACGUGCCAGCAGCCGCGGUAAUACGUAGGGGGCAAGCGUUGUCCGGAAUUAUUGGGCGUAAAGGGCGCGUAGGCGGAUAGUUAAGUCCGGUGUGAAAGAUCAGGGCUCAACCCUGAGAGUGCAUCGGAAACUGGUUAUCUUGAGGACAGGAGAGGAAAGUGGAAUUCCUAGUGUAGCGGUGAAAUGCGUAGAUAUUAGGAGGAACACCAGUGGCGAAGGCGACUUUCUGGAC